GACGAACGCUGGCGGCGUGCCUAAUACAUGCAAGUUGAGCGAUGAAGAUUGGUGCUUGCACCAAUUUGAAGAGCAGCGAACGGGUGAGUAACGCGUGGGGAAUCUGCCUUUGAGCGGGGGACAACAUUUGGAAACGAAUGCUAAUACCGCAUAACAACUUUAAACAUAAGUUUUAAGUUUGAAAGAUGCAAUUGCAUCACUCAAAGAUGAUCCCGCGUUGUAUUAGCUAGUUGGUGAGGUAAAGGCUCACCAAGGCGAUGAUACAUAGCCGACCUGAGAGGGUGAUCGGCCGCAUUGGGACUGAGACACGGCCCAAACUCCUACGGGAGGCAGCAGUAGGGAAUCUUCGGCAAUAGACGAAAGUCUGACCGAGCAACGCCGCGUGAGUGAAGAAGGUUUUCGGAUCGUAAAACUCUGUUGGUAGAGAAGAACGUUGGUGAGAGUGGAAAGCUCAUCAAGUGACGGUAACUACCCAGAAAGGGACGGCUAACUACGUG
rnacentral:rRNA from 1 species